UGUUUCUGACCUAUCAGCUUUCGACGGUAUGGUAUUGGCUUACCGUGGCAGUGACGGUUAACGGGGGAUUAGGGUUCGAUUCCGGAGAGGGAGCCUGAGAAACGGCUACCACAUCUAAGGAAGGCAGCAGGCGCGCAAAUUACCCAAUUCUAAUAGCAAAAGAGAGGUAGUGACAAGAAAUAACAGUACAAGGCAAUUAAAAUGCUUUGUAAUUGGAAUGAUAGAAAUUUAAAUACUUUUUAAAGUAUCAAUUGGAGGGCAAGUCUGGUGCCAGCAGCCGCGGUAAUUCCAGCUCCAAUAGCGUAUAUUAAAAUUGUUGCAGUUAAAAAGCUCGUAGUUGAAUUUCUGCUAGAAAUAACCGGUUUGCUUUUAUUAAUAAAAGUGGUAUCUUGGUGUGUUUCUAGCAAUAAUGUUCUUUGAAAUGUUUUUUACUUAAUUGUAAAAAGCAAAUUUCAGGAUUUUUACUUUGAGAAAAUUAGAGUGUUUCAAGCAUGCUAACGUUUUGAAUACUGCAGCAUGGAAUAAUAAAAUAGGAUUUUAGUUCUACGUUAUUGGUUUUAAGAACUAAAUUAAUGAUUGAUAGGGGCAGUUGGGGGCAUUUGUAUUUAACUGUCAGAGGUGAAAUUCUUAGAUUUG
rnacentral:rRNA from 1 species